GUUUCCGUAGUGUAGUGGUUAUCACAUCCGCCUAACACGCGGAAGGUCCUGGGUUCGAGCCCCAGCAGAAACA
rnacentral:tRNA from 1 species